AAGCACUCUCUCCCCGGAUAAGAAGCGCAGCCAAAGCCCCCUCCGCCCAAAACCCCCACCGCGAGCUCUCUCCCCGCCCCACCCAUGGCGACCUCCACCGCCUCCUCCUCCUCCCUCACCGCCCCUCUCCUUGGCCCCAAACCCAGCCCGAAUCCGCCCCCCAGAUCCCUCCCGCUCCUCAGGAGUCGGAGGUGCGCUCGGUCCGUGGCCGCCUCUGCCGGCGGCGGCGGAGUGGGACUCCACGGGGCUGCUCACAGGCGCGGGAUUUGGUCGAUCAGGGAUGACUUGCUGAUGCCUAGGUCGCCCUACUUCCCAGUGGAGGCCGCGGGGCAGGAGCGCGGGCCCUCCCCCAUGGUGAUGGAGCGGUUCCAGAGCGUCGUCAGCCAGCUCUUUCAGCACAGAAUUAUCCGAUGCGGCGGUCCUGUGGAGGAUGAUAUGGCCAACGUCAUUGUUGCGCAGCUGCUAUACCUGGACGCCGUUGAUCCUAACAAGGAUAUCAUUAUGUAUGUGAACUCUCCAGGAGGGUCAGUGACAGCUGGGAUGGCCAUAUUUGAUACAAUGAAGCAUAUCAGGCCUGAUGUUUCCACAGUUUGUAUCGGACUUGCUGCAAGUAUGGGUGCUUUCCUACUCAGCGGCGGGACGAAAGGGAAGAGGUACAGCUUACCUAACUCAAGAAUAAUGAUCCAUCAGCCUCUUGGAGGAGCCCAAGGACAAGAGACCGACCUUGAGAUCCAGGCCAAUGAGAUGCUGCACCACAAGGCCAACUUGAACGGAUACCUAGCAUACCACACUGGGCAGCCCCUGGAUAAGAUCAAUGUAGAUACUGACCGUGACUUCUUCAUGAGCGCGAAAGAGGCGAAGGAGUAUGGCCUUAUCGACGGAGUAAUUGUGAAUCCUCUUAAAGCACUUCAACCACUUCCAGCUUCCAGUUAGUCAUGUCGUGCACAAUCUCUGCCGCUCCAAGCAUUUUUGUUGUGAUCUUCUGGAGCUGUGUUUGUACCACGUUGUUUUCGUUAGUCUGGCUAGAUGCUGUAAUUUUGCAUCAUGAAGCUUCACAGGUUGUGCAGAACAGAUGCACUACUAGAAUAUUCAUCAUUUGCGGUAAGAUAUUUGCAUGUGAGUCAUGUUCUUUUUGUUAAUUUCACUUUCUUAUGGUUCUCUCUGUUUGGACACAAAAUUUUGUUUGAUAUGGGGUGAGACAGGUUUUCUGCGGAUCCAACAGGGGCACCUGUACUAUAACUAUUCUUGAUGAAGCACACUGCUGUUUAUGAUAAACUCACCGCUGGUUGCUGGAAAGCAGAUAGUGCACAGCAAAGCGCCCAGUUUUGAGCUCAAAGAGUGUUAUCAGGC
rnacentral:rRNA from 1 species